AUCCAACUGACAAGUCCCAAAUAGGACGAAACGCGCAUCCUGGAU
rnacentral:hammerhead_ribozyme from 1 species